AGGAGCUCCGUGGCUUUCAUGGUGUAAUUGACUGUGUUUUCUCUCCACCUCUUGAAAGGGGAGGCAGCAUUGGCUCAAAUUAAAAUGCACAGUAAGGGAUGGGGAGCAAGAUCAAUGCAGUGCCUAACUACACCUCCACGAGAGGAUUUCCAUCAGCUGCUCCAGCCCUUACAUCAGAUCUAACAGGGAGACACCAAGGAUCAAAUUCAUCACAUCUAUGUUUAGAUGUUGUGAAUGCUACAUCUAAGGGAGUCAGCAGGACCAAAACAAGCACUCCUAGACUGCAAUUCAUCCCUAUCCUUUAAAUGGCUAUUUUUGGAGGAGAUUGAUAACACCUUAGAAGUUCCUUUUUCUCUCAGAAGACUAGAGCAGGAUUCCUCAGGGAUUGUUGAAGCUGUGGAAGUCCACCAGAGGAGGAAUCCCACCCCAGAUGGAAAGGAUCCCAUCCCUGGAGUUGGGGACUGCAGGGAGGAGGAGGAUUUGGAUUCGAGCACAGCAGCUUGGAACUUGGGACAACCUCAGGGCAGCCGCACUCCUUCCACGUUGUUAUACUACCAUCUACUGAUAAAAGGAUGCUACUUCUCUGGGAUUUUGCCUCCUGUCCUCAUCACCUUGGUGCAACAAGCAGUAUUUCAACUCCAUCAGAGCUGGAAAAUGAGCAUUUAACUGCUGCUCCAAGCCUCAGCCCCUGAACACUCUUUUCUGCAGCACAAACACGCUCACAGAGGCAUCAGCUGCGCUCCAGACCCUUUGUAGGAAACAAGGUUUUGGGGAUUUGUAUUUGUUACUCCCUUUGUUUCUGUCAAAGGAAAAAAGCUAAGGGAUGGGAAACAAUCAUCAAGAGCCCUUUGUCAGCUUGAAGAAAGGAGGCUGGGUUGGUCUUAUACUAAAGUGAGGAAACAUUAAAUUGCUACUUUCAAGAAGCUUGAAAGUGUACUACAUUAAAAAAAAAGUGAGGAAAAGAAAAGCCAACAAUAACAAGUUUAGUUCUAUAAAAUAUUAAUUCCCUCCAUUAUUAAUAGCAGGAAAGGCAGCAGUUUGGCUUUUUGCAGUGUCCUCACACCCCUCUUGGGGUUUCCUUGUUCUUCCAGGGAGCUGUUCCCACUCAGCAUCCAGCACUCACCUGGGAUUACUGCUCUGUUUGACCAAGGAAUGGAGAACACAGAAAAAAGCUGAGGACUCUUUGCAGGGUCUCCAGAUGAAACAAUUGGAAGUGCCAGUUAAUUUCACGUCCUUUACCCUCCUCAGCUAUACCCAAAAUAGGAAGAGUGGCAGGCACCUUUUAGUGUAAUCAGUGCACCACAGUGAUUUGGGGCUAAUUAGAUGUUAGUAAUUAAGAAAAGACUGCUGUGAUGGAUGCUUUCACAGGUUGCAUUGUUGAUUCAAGGAAUAAGCCUGUUCACCUUUAAGUAUUGUCAGUCACAUUUCUUUAGCUGGGAAGAAUGAAAUGUCAAUUUUAUCUUGCUUCAUCACUGCUCUUUAAUCAAUGCCGAUGCAUCACUUCCCACUAUCAUUCCUCCAUCAAACACUGACCUGGAAAUCUGACACUGAGCUUUUCAACACCAGCUCAGCUAAUUAAGAACUUUGUUAUUCCACCUUCCAUCUUUUAAAGGAAAGUAAGAAAAGUGCCAAAGAACCUUUUGCUUUCAUGUGGAAAAGCAUCAGCAGGGGGUUAAUAAUAAUUAUUAAAAUGACUGACAGCUGGGGCUAUGCUGUGAUUUGGCCCAGCCCCGUGGUCCUGCAGACACAGAAAGGUAAAAGCUAAGAAUAGUCAGGCCUUGAAUUACUACAGUGAAUAAAUGGAGUUUUAGGAAAGAAAAUAGCUUCCUA
ensembl:lncRNA